UCGAGCACGCGGUGGAUCGUCUAAGGAAAGCUGCAUUGAUACAGCAAGAAUCCUAUGAGAAGCGGGCGAAGCACAUCGUUGGCAGAAAGCAGUGAGCUUAAUAUGAGAAGCCAGCGCAAAAGUAGGAAUGCAGCGGAAUGUUAAUGCCACAGCAGAACUUCAAGGCUGAAAUCACUCGGGCUAACAUUUCUGGUCGUGCCCAGGUUAAGUCUUCGUGGUGAAAGCAAACUGCUGGCAGGAGGUGGACGGGCUCCUAGGUGGGAUCAAGCACCUUUUAAGCAGCAACAACACAACACGUGGUUGGACUUCGCAUAUCCAGGGAAGGCAAGACCUGAAACAGUCGAAGACUGGAGGCCUGCAUUGGCUGCCAGGAGGGGCACAGCUUUGACCUUACAGGUGGAGAGCAGGGCAGUGGAGAGCCGGGAUCGCCGAAGUCUCCCACGUCAGAAACUGAUGGAGCAGAACUUCAGGGAAGACUCCAGGUGAAAGUCGCCCGACCUGAGAGAAGACUUCAGUCUGGAAACCUGAUCCCUUGUCGUUUGGAUUAAUAAAGGCUGGGUUGCUCACUUAA